rnacentral:rRNA from 1 species
UACGUAGGGUGCGAGCGUUGUCCGGAAUUACUGGGCGUAAAGAGCUCGUAGGUGGUUUGUCGCGUUGUCCGUGAAAACUCACAACUCAAUUGUGGGCGUGCGGGCGAUACGGGCAGACUGGAGUACUGCAGGGGAGACUGGAAUUCCUGGUGUAGCGGUGGAAUGCGCAGAUAUCAGGAGGAACACCUGCGGCGAAGGCGGGUAGCUGGGCCGACACUGACGCUGAGGCGCGAAAGCCAGGGGAGCGAACGGG